AGGGAAUCCCUUUAGUACGGCGAGUGAGCGGCAAAAGCUCAAAUUUGAAAUCUGGUACCUUCGGUGCCCGAGUUGUAAUUUGGAGAGGGCAACUUUGGGGCCGUUCCUUGUCUAUGUUCCUUGGAACAGGACGUCAUAGAGGGUGAGAAUCCCGUGUGGCGAGGAGUGCGGUUCUUUGUAAAGUGCCUUCGAAGAGUCGAGUUGUUUGGGAAUGCAGCUCUAAGUGGGUGGUAAAUUCCAUCUAAAGCUAAAUAUUGGCGAGAGACCGAUAGCGAACAAGUACAGUGAUGGAAAGAUGAAAAGAACUUUGAAAAGAGAGUGAAAAAGUACGUGAAAUUGUUGAAAGGGAAGGGCAUUUGAUCAGACAUGGUGUUUUGUGCCCUCUGCUCCUUGUGGGUAGGGGAAUCUCGCAUUUCACUGGGCCAGCAUCAGUUUUGGUGGCAGGAUAAAUCCAUAGGAAUGUAGCUUGCCUCGGUAAGUAUUAUAGCCUGUGGGAAUACUGCCAGCUGGGACUGAGGACUGCGACGUAAGUCAAGGAUGCUGGCAUAAUGGUUAUAUGCCGCCCGUCUUGAAACCGCGAACCA
rnacentral:rRNA from 1 species